AUUUUGCAAGGUGCUGCAUGGUUGUCGUCAGCUCGUGCCGUGAGGUGUCGGGUUAAGUCCCAUAACGAGCGCAACCCCUAUUGUUAGUUGCCAUCAGGUCAUGCUGGGGACUCUAACAAAACUGCCCGCGUAAGCGUGGAGGAAGGUGGGGAUGACGUCAAAUCAGCACGGCCCUUACGUCCAGGGCUACACACGUGCUACAAUGGCCGGUACAGAGGGCAGCCACUUGGUGACAAGGAGCAAAUCUCAAAAGCCGGUCUCAGUUCGGAUCGGAGUCUGCAACUCGACUCCGUGAAGUUGGAUUCGCUAGUAAUCGUAGAUCAGCAAUGCUACGGUGAAUACGUUCCCGGGCCUU
rnacentral:rRNA from 1 species